AAAGUAAUUGUGGUUUUUCCAUUACUUUCAGUGGCAAAAACUGCAAUUACUUUUGC
ensembl:miRNA